UACUAAUCUACUGGAGAAAUGUAUGUCUCACUUUUGUAAGUGAAUGGAAAUACAAGUCACUAUAAAACCAGCACUGCCUCUCUACUCAUUGACACUGAGCUGUCCGAAGAAACCAGAAGAGAGCUGCCAACUGUCAUCAUCAGAAGAAGAACAAAUCAGCCAGAAGUCAGAAACACUCAGAUUGACUGCUGCUAAGGCUUGAACACUGCCAGAGAGAACUGCGUUGAUUAUGAAGGGGAAAAUAACCUUUACGGUUUUCCUACUUGCACUUGUUGCAAAAUCCUCCGUGUCUCUUCCUAUCACUAUAACAGUGAUGUUGAAUCACCCAGUUACACCGCCCUGCUCUGGAUCAUGCCAUGGUGGCAGAAAUAAGAAGGGAAGGAAAGAACCAUAGAAUAAAUGGAACAUUCUGCUAUCACUCCGUGGAUCCAAGACCAAGAAAACACACAUCCCCUCAGGAAAAAACACUGGCAUGUCACGCUCUGCUCUGCCGUCGCUGCCAGCCACCAGCAUGACUGACACUUCAUCGGUGUCUCUCUACUGGCACUGUGCGAUAGUCUCUGCUCCCAUUGAGAACUUGGGGAGAGAGAUUCGGAAGAAAUGCUGACUUCCUCUGCAGCCCAGCCCACUGAAUUUGUACGAGGCCGCCUACAAUUGACACGCCACAUUGCAUCAACCAAUGGUUGUGUGCCAUGUCACUGACAAUAAUAAAGUACACCUUUCAUGCAGAACGCUCCGUCUUCAGUCUUUCAAAUAAUAUGUGUAGAUAUUAAGGAGGCUGUAUGUUUGUAUUAUCACAGCACUAUAAGAAAAGGGGCUCCUCAAAAUCCAUUGUGAGACUAAAAACGUCCUAAGGCUCGUCAAUAACAACGACGAGACAGCCUAUAGACAGACAAGAAGCGCAGUGUCUAACAGCGAUGUGCAGUGGAAACAACCUGGAGCUGAACACAAAGAAAAGAAAGGACAUCAUAGAGGAUUUUAGAAAUGUUUUAUUUGUUCCAUUUGACUGUUUUACUGUAUACCUCUGUGUGCUAUGUAGGCCUAUUAUAUGUGAGAGAGCUCCAAAGAAUAAUUCCAAUUUUGACGCUCGAAAAGCGGCUUCACUCCGAGGAGCAGCUGUAGUGUUGCCGGUCCGGAGAAGAGAGGCUGGGCUCUGUGAGGACGAUGGUAGUCAGAGGCAGGAACAUGGCUGCGUUAUGACACCAGUGAAGCAGCGGAGCAGCUUUACUGUCUCGGGUGAAGCUCGUUUUGGCUCGGCGGACGAGUAUUUCACUUCAUUGUUUGAUCCGUGCAUAAUGCAAAAAGUCCUUAUAAAAGGUUAUGUUCGUGGGAGAGGUGAUCAACGCUGUUAUCAGGGCUGGUUUGGCACAAUUCUCUGUGAUGCAGUGGCUUUGGUAUAUUCAGUCUUUGUUCUGUUAGAAAACGAACUGUGCUCUGCAUUCUCAGUGUCUCGGUCUGACAAGACUCCCGACUCGACAGUGCUCUAGUAGACUACAGGCAUCUCUCAAUAUCUACAAUAACACUUAUUAGGAAGGUUAUCCGAAUAAAUUAGGAUCCGAAAUGGCAAGUCAAGUCAGUCACUAUAAAAACCAAGCUGUAUUGGAUAGAAAAUAGUAGACAGUAAGUUAUCCUACCCGGACGAAGCGUACUACUAAUCUACUGGAGAAUUGUGUCUCACUUUUGUAAGUGAAUGGAAAUACAAGUCACUAUAAAACCAAGCUGUAUUGGAUAGAAAAUACACAGUAAGUUAUCCUACCCGUACGAAGCAUACUACUAAUCUACAGGAGAAAUGUAUGUCUCACUUUUGUAAGUGAAUGGAAAUACAAGUCACUAUAAAACCAGCACUGCCUCUCUACUCACUGACACUGAGCUGUCCGAAGAAACCAGAAGAGAGCUGCCAACUGUCAUCAUCAGAAGAAGAAGAACAAAUCAGCCAGAAGUCAGAAACACUCAGAUUGACUGCUGCUAAGGCUUGAACACUGCCAGAGAGAACUGCGUUGAUUAUGAAGGGGAAAAUAACCUUUACGGUUUUCCUACUUGCACUUGUUGCAAAAUCCUCCGUGUCUCUUCCUAUCACUAUAACAGUGAUGUUGAAUCACCCAGUUACACCGCCCUGCUCUGGAUCAUGCCAUGGUGGCAGAAAUAAGAAGGGAAGGAAAGAACCAUAGAAUAAAUGGAACAUUCUGCUAUCACUCCGUGGAUCCAAGACCAAGAAAACACACAUCCCCUCAGGAAAAAACACUGGCAUGUCACGCUCUGCUCUGCCGUCGCUGCCAGCCACCAGCAUGACUGACACUUCAUCGGUGUCUCUCUACUGGCACUGUGCGAUAGUCUCUGCUCCCAUUGAGAACUUCACCCCUUACACACCUGCAUAGCUGAGUGGGGAGAGAGAUUCGGAAGAAAUGCUGACUUCCUCUGCAGCCCAGCCCACUGAAUUUGUACGAGGCCGCCUACAAUUGACACGCCACAUUGCAUCAACCAAUGGUUGUGUGCCAUGUCACUGACAAUAAUAAAGUACACCUUUCAUGCAGAACGCUCCGUCUUCAGUCUUUCAAAUAAUAUGUGUAGAUAUUAAGGAGGCUGUAUGUUUGUAUUAUCACAGCACUAUAAGAAAAGGGGCUCCUCAAAAUCCAUUGUGAGACUAAAAACGUCCUAAGGCUCGUCAAUAACAACGACGAGACAGCCUAUAGACAGACAAGAAGCGCAGUGUCUAACAGCGAUGUGCAGUGGAAACAACCUGGAGAUGAACACAAAGAAAAGAAAGGACAUCAUAGAGGAUUUUAGAAAUGUUUUAUUUGUUCCAUUUGACUGUUUUACUGUAUACCUCUGUGUGCUAUGUAGGCCUAUUAUAUGUGAGAGAGCUCCAAAGAAUAAUUCCAAUUUUGACGCUCGAAAAGCGGCUUCACUCCGAGGAGCAGCUGUAGUGUUGCCGGUCCGGAGAAGAGAGGCUGGGCUCUGUGAGGACGAUGGUAGUCAGAGGCAGGAACAUGGCUGCGUUAUGACACCAGUGAAGCAGCGGAGCAGCUUUACUGUCUCGGGUGAAGCUCGUUUUGGCUCGGCGGACGAGUAUUUCACUUCAUUGUUUGAUCCGUGCAUAAUGCAAAAAGUCCUUAUAAAAGGUUAUGUUCGUGGGAGAGGUGAUCAACGCUGUUAUCAGGGCUGGUUUGGCACAAUUCUCUGUGAUGCAGUGGCUUUGGUAUAUUCAGUCUUUGUUCUGUUAGAAAACGAACUGUGCUCUGCAUUCUCAGUGUCUCGGUCUGACAAGACUCCCGACUCGACAGUGCUCUAGUAGACUACAGUCAUCUCUCAAUAUCUACAAUAACACUUAUUAGGAAGGUUAUCUGAAUGAAUUAGGAUAUGAAAUGGCAUGUCAAGUCAGUCACUAUAAAACCAAGCUGUAUUGGAUAGAAAAUAGUAGACAUUAAGUUAUCCUACCCAGACGAAGCAUACUACUAAUCUACUGGAGAAUUGUGUCUCACUUUUGUAAGUGAAUGGAAAUACAAGUCACUAUAAAACCAAGCUGUAUUGGAUAGAAAAUAGACAGUAAGUUAUCCUACCCGGACGAAUCAUACUACUAAUCUACAGGAGAAAUGUAUGUCUCACUUUUGUAAGUGAAUGGAAAUACAAGUCACUAUAAAACCAGCACUGCCUCUCUACUCACUGACACUGAGCUGUCCGAAGAAACCAGAAGAGAGCUGCCAACUGUCAUCAUCAGAAGAAGAACAAAUCAGCCAGAAGUCAGAAACACUCAGAUUGACUGCUGCUAAGGCUUGAACACUGCCAGAGAGAACUGCGUUGAUUAUGAAGGGGAAAAUAACCUUUACGGUUUUCCUACUUGCCCUUGUUGCAAAAUCCUUGGUGUCUCUUCCUAUCACUAUAACAGUGAUGUUGAAUCACCCAGUUACACCGCCCUGCUCUGGAUCAUGCCAUGGUGGCAGAAAUAAGAAGGGAAGGAAAGAACCAUAGAAUAAAUGGAACGUUCUGCUAUCACUCCGUGGAUCCAAGACCAAGAAAACACACAUCCCCUCAGGAAAAAACACUGGCAUGUCACGCUCUGCUCUGCCGUCGCUGCCAGCCACCAGCAUGACUGACACUUCAUCGGUGUCUCUCUACUGGCACUGUGCGAUAGUCUCGGCUCCCAUUGAGAACUUCACCCCUUACACACCUGCAUAGCUGAGUGGGGAGAUAGAUUCGGAAGAAAUGCAGAAAUAAGAAGUGAAAUACUCUCGUCCGCCGAGCUACAACCGAGAUAGUAGAGCUGCUCAUCAAUUUCGCUGGUGUCGUAAUGCAGCCGUGUUCCGGAUAUGAAUAGUGAACUCUUUUCAUAACAUCCUCUGUAAGCUAUUAUACAAUGGCAUUGUAUAAUGCCAUUACAGCUAGAGUGUAGUUUGCCUUGACAUGAAUAAAACCAAAUGAAUGAUCAGUCAGAGAUGUGUGUUGUGCUUUUAUUCAUAAUAUAUAUGAAACAUGACUGUAUAAGAUAGUCCUCCUGCACAUAUCACGCCAUUGGUGUUAGCCCAUAUAUGUCGCCCCAUAGGAAAAGUUAUACCAAUCCUUUAAGGACAUAUGAUUAUUCAACAUUAACUUCAACUGGGUUCUCCUGAUCAACACCUCGGUGCUUAACUGUGUGACAGUAGCAAGACUGUCAAUGUCUUCUUCCUCACAUCCCUCCGCAAGCCUCAGCCCAUGGAUGAGUUUGGUGUAUAUGUCCCAGAGUGUUGUUCCGUAGAUUAUGGUGAUGGAGAGAUGCCCGGUUAUUUCACCUAUGUUAUCAGAGGUGCUCUGGAUCAAGACUUUGAUGUGAGGCGUAUUUUCGUCUACAAUGGCAAUUCUAUACCUUGAUGUAUUUGUCUUGUGUAGUUGUUUACUGCACUCAUGUGUUAUUGUGUACCAAUGACACCGGCUUAUGUUAGACACCAAACAC
rnacentral:lncRNA from 1 species